CGUCAAAGCUUAAUGUACACAACACUAAAUAAUUACUUAAACUCCUCAGAACCCCUCAUUAAUACUGAAUGAUCUCAUACCCUUAUGAGACCCUUUAUGUUAAAACUAGUAACAAGAAGUUAACCUUCUCUUUAUAUGUAAACACAAAUCAGAGCAGAUAAUCUACUGACUCAUAACAGCUAUAAAUUUUAGUAACACCAAAUCAGGAAAAUCUUACUUAAAAAACUGUUAACCUAACACAAGAACAUAAAAAGAAAGAUUAAAAGAAAAAGAAGGAACUCGGCAAAUUUUGAUUCCGCCUGUUUACCAAAAACAUCGCCUCCUGCUAAAAUAUAGGAGGUCCAGCCUGCCCAGUGACCCAGUUUAACGGCCGCGGUAUCCUAACCGUGCGAAGGUAGCGUAAUCACCUGUUUUUUAAUUAAAGACCUGUAUGAAAGGCACCACGAGAAUCACACUGUCUCCUUUUUUCAAUCAGUGAAACUAAUCUCCUCGUGAAAAAGCGAGGAUAAUUAUACAAGACGAGAAGACCCUUUGGAGCUUUAGAUAAAGUAACAUCUUACCAUCGCCCCCCCCACCUAUACAAAAUAUAACCCAUGUUACAAAUCUUCGGUUGGGGCAACCACGGAGUAAAAAAUAACCUCCAAGCUGAACGGAAUUUCCUUAACAAAAAGCCACAACUUUAUGUAUCAACAAAUUGACAUUAUGACCCAAUAUUUUGAUUAUCGAACCAAGUUACCCUAGGGAUAACAGCGCAAUCUACUUCAAGAGUCCAUAUCGACAAGUAGGCUUACGACCUCG
rnacentral:rRNA from 1 species